AGCGAACUGAUUAGGAAGCUUGCUUCUAUGACGUUAGCGGCGGACGGGUGAGUAACACGUGGGCAACCUGCCUGUAAGACUGGGAUAACUCCGGGAAACCGGAGCUAAUACCGGAUAACAUUUUUUCUUGCAUAAGAGAAAAUUGAAAGAUGGUUUCGGCUAUCACUUACAGAUGGGCCCGCGGUGCAUUAGCUAGUUGGUGAGGUAACGGCUCACCAAGGCAACGAUGCAUAGCCGACCUGAGAGGGUGAUCGGCCACACUGGGACUGAGACACGGCCCAGACUCCUACGGGAGGCAGCAGUAGGGAAUCUUCCGCAAUGGACGAAAGUCUGACGGAGCAACGCCGCGUGAGUGAUGAAGGCUUUCGGGUCGUAAAACUCUGUUGUUAGGGAAGAACAAGUACAAGAGUAACUGCUUGUACCUUGACGGUACCUAACCAGAAAGCCACGGCUAACUACGUGGCAGCAGCCGCGGUAAUACGUAGGUGGCAAGCGUUAUCCAGAAUUAUUGGGCGUAAAGCGCGCUCAAGCGGUUUCUUAAGGCUGAUGUGAAAGGCCACGGCUCAACCAUGGACGGUCAUUGGAAACUGGGGAACUUGACUGCACAAGAGAAAAGCUGAAUGCCACAUGUGGCGCUGAAAUGGGUAGAAAUGCGGAGAAAC
rnacentral:rRNA from 1 species